rnacentral:rRNA from 1 species
GUAUAAGCAUUAUACAGCGAAACUGCGAAUGGCUCAUUAUAUAAGUUAUCGUUUAUUUGAUAGUACCUUACUACUUGGAUAACCGUGGUAAUUCUAGAGCUAAUACAUGCUAAAAAUCCCGACUUCGGAAGGGAUGUAUUUAUUAGAUUAAAAACCAAUGCCCUCUGGGCUCCUUGGUGAUUCAUGAUAACUUCUCGAAUCGCAUGGCCUUGCGCCGGCGAUGGUUCAUUCAAAUUUCUUCCCUAUCAACUUUCGAUGUUUGGGUAGUGGCCAAACAUGGUUGCAACGGGUAACGGAGGGUUAGGGCUCGACCCCGGAGAAGGAGCCUGAGAAACGGCUACUACAUCCAAGGAAGGCAGCAGGCGCGCAAAUUACCCAAUCCCGAUUCGGGGAGGUAGUGACAAUAAAUACUGAUACAGGGCUCUUUUGGGUCUUGUAAUUGGAAUGAGUACAAUUUAAAUCCCUUAACGAGGAACAAUUGGAGGGCAAGUCUGGUGCCAGCAGCC